rnacentral:rRNA from 1 species
GUGGAUUAGAUACCCUGGUAGUCCACGCAGUAAACGAUGAUAGCUCGUUGUCGGCGAUACACAGUCGGUGACUUAGAGAAAUCGAUAAGCUAUCCACCUGGGGAGUACGUUCGCAAGAAUGAAACUCAAAGGAAUUGACGGGGGCCCGCACAAGCGGAGGAACAUGUGGUUUAAUUCGAUGAUACGCGAGGAACCUUACCCGGGCUUGAAAGUUAGUGACGGAUCUGGAAACAGGUCUUCCCUUCGGGGCACGAAACUAGGUGCUGCACGGCCGUCGCCAACU